GAUGAACGCUGGCGGCGUGCCUAAUACAUGCAAGUCGAGCGAACAGACGAGGAGCUUGCUCCUCUGACGUUAGCGGCGGACGGGUGAGUAACACGUGGAUAACCUACCUAUAAGACUGGGAUAACUUCGGGAAACCGGAGCUAAUACCGGAUAAUAUAUUGAACCGCAUGGUUCAAUAGUGAAAGACGGUUUUGCUGUCACUUAUAGAUGGAUCCGCGCCGCAUUAGCUAGUUGGUAAGGUAACGGCUUACCAAGGCAACGAUGCGUAGCCGACCUGAGAGGGUGAGCGGCCACACUGGAACUGAGACACGGUCCAGACUCCUACGGGAGGUAGCAGUAGGGAAUCUUCCGCAAUGGGCGAAAGCUUGACGGAGCAACGCCGCGUGAGUGAUGAAGGUCUUCGGAUCGUAAAACUCUGUUAUUAGGGAAGAACAAAUGUGUAAGUAACUAUGCACGUCUUGACGGUACCUAAUCAGAAAGCCACGGCUAACUACGUG
rnacentral:rRNA from 1 species